GGAGUUAGCCGGUGCUUCUUCUGUGAGUGAUGUCCUUCCUGCCGGCUAUUAACCCGCAGGCCUUCUUCCUCACUGAAAGUGCUUUACAACCCGAAGGCCUUCUUCACACACGCGGCAUGGCUGGAUCAGGGUUGCCCCCAUUGUCCAAUAUUCCCCACUGCUGCCUCCCGUAGGAGUCUGGGCCGUGUCUCAGUCCCAGUGUGGCUGAUCAUCCUCUCAGACCAGCUACGGAUCGUCGCCUUGGUGAGCCGUUACCUCACCAACCAGCUAAUCCGACAUAGGCUCAUCCGACAGCGCGAGGCCCGAAGGUCCCCCGCUUUCCCCCGUAGGGCGUAUGCGGUAUUAGCCUGGGUUUCCCCAGGUUAUCCCCCACUACCGGGCAGAUUCCUAUGCAUUACUCACCCGUCCGCCGCUCGCCACCAGGGAGCAAGCUCCCCGUGCUGCCGCUCGACUUGCAUGUGUUAGGCCUGCCGCCAGCGUUCAAUCUGAGCCAGGAUCAAACUCUGA
rnacentral:rRNA from 1 species